rnacentral:rRNA from 1 species
CGAACGCUGGCGGCGUGCUUAACACAUGCAAGUCGAACGAGGACUAGAGAGCUUGCUCUCUAUAGCCGAGUGGCGAACGGGUGAGUAACACGUGACCAACCUAUCUUCUGGCGGGGGGCAACCUGGGGAAACCCGGGCUAAUACCGCAUAAAGUCUCUCCUUCGCAUGGAGGGAAGACCAAAGGGAGCCUCUGCUUGCAAGCUUCCACCGGAAGAGGGGGUCGCGGCGUAUCAGCUUGUUGGUGGGGUAAUGGCCCACCAAGGCUACGACGCGUAGCGGGUCUGAGAGGACGAUCCGUCACAUUGGGACUGAGAUACGGCCCAGACUCCUACGGGAGGCAGCAGUGGGGAAUAUUGCGCAAUGGACGAAAGUCUGACGCAGCGACGCCGCGUGUGGGAUGAAGCCUUUCGGGGUGUAAACCACUGUCAGAGGGGAAGAAACACGUGCGCCUGAAUAGGGCGUGCGAUUGACGGUACCCUCAGAGGAAGCGCCGGCUAACUCC